GAGAAUGAAAAAAGAGUGCACAUAUUUUUGAGUUCCAAGUCAUUUUCUCAACUUUGUUACUCUUGCAUAAAUCAUUGAUGCAAAGUCUAGAUUUAGGUCAUGUUUGGCAUUAUUGUAGGUAAUAGAGCUUUUGUCCUUUAUUGUUUGCUGUUUGGCAACUACAUUUUUAAAAUGCUGAACUUUAACACCUAUUUGCUAACCAAAUUGAGAAAGUAUUUUUAAUAUCAGGCAGCGACAACAAAGGAUAUUGCAUAGUACUUGCAAUUAUUGUUUGUGCUAACAAAGUCUAUUAUUUUAAAGUAUUCUUAAUUUAUAAAUUAUUUAUUUUGAUAUAUUGAUCUGAAUAAUAAAUAACAAAUUUAUAUAUUAUAUAGUUAUAGUAUAAUAAUAUUAUAAUAUGAUUAUUAUAAUAUAACAGUGAUAGUAAUAUAAAAUUAUGACAACAUAAGAUAACAUAACAAUAUUAUAUUAUAUUUUAUUAGUAUAUAAUAAUAUGAUUGUAUUAUUAUAUUAUAUUAUUAUUGUACUAUCAGAAACUAUUAGCAUGGGCUUUUUCAUCUUUGCAGAAUUUUUAUUGAAUUGAAAAUAGUUUUUUUCCAUCAACUUCAAAUUGGAGCUUUUGCUUAAUAGAUAUUUUUUAGCUUUUGGAGGAGGUAGAAAACUGUUUCAAAUUUUUUACCAAACAUCUCAAAAUUGCCUAAAAGAGCUUUUGGACUUUCAACAAGCCCUCUUUGGAGGGCCAAAAGCUUUGCCAAAUGGGACCUUAGUUUGAAGAUUGCUUUCCAUCUUCCUUUUUUUUGUUAAGUUAGAUGGAUCAUACAACUCUAGUAUGGAUGUGUCCAAGAAGUUCAAAAUACAGAAUGUCUACAAAGUGGGCUGGAAGAGUGCCAAUCAUGUCCCAUCUGAUGUCCCCUGAGUGGUUGGCCACAUAAGAAGCCACCUACUCAGCUGCACUAUUAGCCUCUUGAUUACAUCUCCAUCCUUCAUCAUGAUUAAUAUAAACUAUACAGGUGAAGUAGCUAUAACUUUCUCCUUUGUAUCAGACCAAUGAGUCUAUGUUUGGCACUCCCACCUAUAUUAUAAGGGCAAAAGAAAUGAAAACAACCUAAGGCAAACAUUUAGUUAAUUUUGUUUCGAAUCCAAGCAUGUUACUUAAUAAUAGAGCAUCUUUUAUGCAUAAAUGGAGGAUAGGAAGGUAUAGCAAGAAGAGAUUGUAAGGAAAUUUGUGGAAAUUCCAAAGGUGAAGGCUCAACAUUUGAAAGAGAGGUAUGUGUCCCUAGGGGUGUUAGAAUUGGAAAUAGGUGAUCUCCUUAUCUCGAAUGAAAGAUAUUAAUAACCAACUUGAUUAA
rnacentral:lncRNA from 1 species